AGUGAACGCUGGCGGUAGGCCUAACACAUGCAAGUCGAACGGCAGCACAGUAAGAGCUUGCUCUUACGGGUGGCGAGUGGCGGACGGGUGAGGAAUACAUCGGAAUCUACUUUUUCGUGGGGGAUAACGUAGGGAAACUUACGCUAAUACCGCAUACGACCUACGGGUGAAAGCAGGGGAUCUUCGGACCUUGCGCGAUUGAAUGAGCCGAUGUCGGAUUAGCUAGUUGGCGGGGUAAAGGCCCACCAAGGCGACGAUCCGUAGCUGGACGGCGAGGAUGAGCAGCCAGCCUGGGACGGUGACACGCUCCAGACGCCUACGGGAGGCGCCAGUGGUGAAUAGUGGACAAGGGGCGCGAGCCUGUUCCAGCCAUACCGAGGGGGUGAAGAAGGCCGCCGGGUUGUGAAGCCCGUUUGUUGGGAUAGAAAAGCAGCAGGUUAAUACCCCGCUGUUCUGACGGUACCCAAAGGAUAAGCACCGGCUAACUUCGUG
rnacentral:rRNA from 1 species